rnacentral:SRP_RNA from 1 species
CAAGUGCGGUGGUGGGCUCCUGUAGUCCUAACUACUCAGGAGGCUAAGGCAGGAGGAUCACCAAGUCCAGGAGUUCUGGGCUGUAGUGUGCUAUGCUGAUAUCCACACUAAGUUCAGCAUCAAUAUGGUGACCUCCCAGAAGCAGGAGGACAUCACGUUGCCUAAGGAGGGGUGAACCAGCCCAGGUCAAAAACGGAACAGGUCAAAACUCCCAUGCUGAUCAGUAGUAGGAUCUCACCUGUGAAUAACCACUACACUCCAGCCUUGGCAACACAGAGCGACUACUUCUCUUU